rnacentral:tRNA from 4 species
GGGCCGUUAGCUCAGUUGGUAGAGCAUCUGACUUUUAAUCAGGUGGUCGCAGGUUCGAUUCCUGCACGGCCCACCA